AUGGAAUAUCUAAAUCUACAAAGGAAGUUGGAUUUUUUGAUUGAAACUCGUUUCAAUGGAAGAACUCUUAAGGAUAUGCUUUUGAUUUUUGAAGUUGUUAUGGUUCCUGAUGACUUGGAUAAAAAUGAAGUUGCUGCCAAAAGAACUAUAGUUGACAAAUUUCCAACAUUUAACCUUGAUAGAAUUAUCGUUGUCUAUCAAGCAAAGUGUUCAACUACACCUUCUGUAUCCCCAGUCAAAAGUAAGAGGAAAGUUUCUAAAAAUAGUAUUGGUGAUGGCCCCUCAGUGCUUGCUAAGAAGCAUAAAUCUUUGUUGCUGUGA